GUACGAGAGGACCGUGUUGGACAGACCGCUAGUGUACCUGUUGCGGCGCCAGCUGCAUCGCAGGGUAGCUAUGUCUGGAAGAGAUAAGUACUGAAAGCAUCUAAGUACGAAGCUCGCCCCAAGAUGAGAUCUCCCUUAAGGGUCGUCCCAGACCAGGACGUUGAUAGGCUGCAGGUGUAAAGGCAGUAAUGUCAAAGCCGAGCAGUACUAAUUACCCGUGAACUUUCUGCA
rnacentral:rRNA from 1 species